AGUAGGGAAUAUUGCGCAAUGGGGGAAACCCUGACGCAGCAACGCCGCGUGGAGGAUGACACUUUUCGGAGCGUAAACUCCUUUUCUUAGGGAAGAAUUCUGACGGUACCUAAGGAAUAAGCACCGGCUAACUCCGUGCCAGCAGCCGCGGUAAUACGGAGGGUGCAAGCGUUACUCGGAAUCACUGGGCGUAAAGGGCGCGUAGGCGGAUUAUCAAGUCUCUUGUGAAAUCUAAUGGCUUAACCAUUAAACUGCUUGGGAAACUGAUAGUCUAGAGUGAGGGAGAGGCAGAUGGAAUUGGUGGUGUAGGGGUAAAAUCCGUAGAUAUCACCAAGAAUACCCAUUGCGAAGGCGAUCUGCUGGAACUCAACUGACGCUAAGGCGCGAAAGCGUGGGGAGCAAACAGGAUUAGAUACCCUGGUAGUCCACGCCCUAAACGAUGUACACUAGUUGUUGGGGUGCUAGUCAUCUCAGUAAUGCAGCUAACGCAUUAAGUGUACCGCCUGGGGAGUACGGUCGCAAGAUUAAAACUCAAAGGAAUAGACGGGGACCCGCACAAGCGGUGGAGCAUGUGGUUUAAUUCGAAGAUACGCGAAGAACCUUACCUGGGCUUGAUAUCCUAAGAACCUUAUAGAGAUAUGAGGGUGCUAGCUUGCUAGAACUUAGAGACAGGUGCUGCACGGCUGUCGUCAGCUCGUGUCGUGAGAUGUUGGGUUAAGUCCCGCAACGAGCGCAACCCACGUAUUUAGUUGCUAACGGUUCGGCCGAGCACUCUAAAUAGACUGCCUUCGUAAGGAGGAGGAAGGUGUGGACGACGUCAAGUCAUCAUGGCCCUUAUGCCCAGGGCGACACACGUGCUACAAUGGCAUAUACAAUGAGACGCAAUACCGCGAGGUGGAGCAAAUCUAUAAAAUAUGUCCCAGUUCGGAUUGUUCUCUGCAACUCGAGAGCAUGAAGCCGGAAUCGCUAGUAAUCGUAGAUCAGCCAUGCUACGGUGAAUACGUUCCCGGGUCUUGUACUCACCGCCCGUCACACCAUGGGAGUUGAUUUCACUCGAAGCCGGAAUACUAAACUAGUUACCGUCCACAGUGGAAUCAGCGACUGGGGUGAAGUCGUAACAAGGUAACCGUAGGAGAACCUGCGGUUGGAUCACCUCCUUUCUA
rnacentral:rRNA from 1 species